rnacentral:snRNA from 1 species
AUACUUACCUGGUGACAGGGCCUCGUUGAUCACAGAGGACGAGGCCCCAGGGCGAGGCGCAGGCAUUGCACUGCGCUCGCGUUGACCCCUGCCACUACCCCAACCUGGGGCAGGUGGGGCAUGCAAAUUGCUUAAAUCUGGUUCAACGCAAGAGAGGGCGCCACCGCCUCACCAAG